ensembl:lncRNA
GAGAGUAAAGAUGGAUAAAAAAAAAAGCGAAAAAGUGGAGCUGAAAAGCUAAGAAACAAAGAGAAAAAAAUAGAAAUAAAUGCAUCAAAAGGUGUCAAAUUAACCAACAUGCUAGCUAUCGUGGCUACAGCAGCUGCUGCACCAUUAACAGCUGUGUCAGCAAACCUGUGCAGUCAGAGGAAUCUGUUAUUGCUAGCAUGGGCAACUACAAGUACAAUGAAAGACAGUUUGGCAUCUCUCCAUUGGCAUAAUUUUUAAAGAUUAAAAUCACAACGUGGCUUAAUGAAGAGUAUGGAGCAGUUUCUUAUCAUUGUGCUUGUGGCAGGGGGAAUUCAUGCUCACGUUUCAGUUGAUGAGACUACAUGUGACCUCAGGACGAACACAUGCCCAUGCUCUCCUCUUCUUAAAGGAACUGUGUAUAUCCAAGUGAUGACUGAUGCUAGUGGCCG